AUGGGGUUUUUUGCUCUACCAAUACAUCAAGUCUCACCACUUGGCCUUUAGGUUCAUAUUUAAGAGUAUCCCACUCCUUUAGUUUUCAGUAAGAGCUUGAUACAGUUUCAUAGAGGGUUAGUAUUGUAGCUGUUAAAUACUGGUUAGGUUUAAGCCAUCAUCGAGCCAUAUGACCAUCUAAACAUAUACUUAAACUGCUGCUAAACACAGUUUUGCAAUUUCAGGCAUAUUUAUCGCUUCCGGAAGGAAUUGCUACUGCUGCUGGUUUGAUCGCUAUGAUGACUGACCACUACAAUAUUCUGGAAGGCAGUGACAGCGAGCAUGAAAGCAAUGAUGUAGCAAGAACAUCUCGCAGACCACAGAAGCGUGCUCGGGGUAAGUAUCGUCUCAUGUCAAAGGGUCCUGAUGGUCCUUGUCCAGAUCUGUUGCAACUUCAAUCUGCCUCAUCAAGUUAUGCAUGCAUGUCUUUAUUGAA